UACGGAGGGUGCAAGCGUUAUCCGGAUUCACUGGGUUUAAAGGGUGCGUAGGCGGGCAUGUAAGUCAGUGGUGAAAUCUUCAAGCUUAACUUGGAAACUGCCAUUGAUACUAUGUGUCUUGAAUGUUCUGGAGGUUAGCGGAAUAUGUCAUGUAGCGGUGAAAUGCUUAGAUAUGACAUAGAACACCUAUUGCGAAGGCAGCUAACUACGGAAAUAUUGACGCUGAGGCGCGAAAGCGUGGGGAGCAAACAGG
rnacentral:rRNA from 1 species